rnacentral:rRNA from 1 species
UGAGGAAUAUUGGUCAAUGGGCGAGAGCCUGAACCAGCCAAGUAGCGUGCAGGAUGACGGCCCUACGGGUUGUAAACUGCUUUUGCGGGAGAAUAAAGUCGGCCACGCGUGGCCAUUUGCAGGUAUCCCGUGAAUAAGGACCGGCUAAUUCCGUGCCAGCAGCCGCGGUAAUACGGAAGGUCCGGGCGUUAUCCGGAUUUAUUGGGUUUAAAGGGAGCGCAGGCGGAGGAUCAAGCCAGCCGUCAAAUAGCGGUGCUCAACACCGUCCAGCGGUUGGAACUGGUUCCCUUGAUUGCGGGAGAAGAAGGCGGAACUCGUGGUGUAGCG